rnacentral:rRNA from 1 species
GGAUUAGGCAUGCAAGUCGAACGAGGAAGUGCCCCGUAAGGGGCGCAAGCCUAGUGGCGAAAGGGUGAGUAAUGCAUUGAUAACCUGCCUUUGAGAUGGGAAUAACUGCGUUUCGAGCAAUCGGAACUACCGAAAGGGCUGCUAAUACCCAAUAAUACUAUAGGUGCAAAAGCACUUGUGGUCAAAUGCUAGGAAUUCUGUUCCUUGUGCUUAAAGAGGGGUUAAUGUCCUAUCAGCUAGUUGGUGGGGUAAUGGCCUACCAAGGCAAAGACGGGUAGCCGGCUUGAGAGGGUGGUCGGCCACACUGGGACUGAGACACAGCCCAGACUCCUACGGGAGGCUGCAGUCGAGAAUCUUUCGCAAUGCCCGAAAGGGUGACGAAGCGACGCCGCGUGUGGGAAGAAGGCCUUCGGGUUGUAAACCACUGUCGGGAGUUAGGAAAUGCAGGUGCGUUAAUAGCGCACUUGCUUGACUAAGGCUCCAGAGGAAGCCACGGCUAACUCUGUGCCGGCAGCCGCGGUAAUACAGAGGCGGCAAGCGUUGUUCGGAAUUAUUGGGCGUAAAGAGCACGUAGGCGGCCUUGCAAGUCAGUUGUGAAAGCCUUCCGCUUAACGGAAGAACGGCAUCUGAUACUACAGGGCUUGAGUACGGGAGGGGAGAGUGGAACUUCUGGUGGAGCGGUGAAAUGCGUAGAUAUCAGAAGGAACGCCGGCGGCGAAAGCGACUCUCUGGUCCGAAACUGACGCUGAGUGUGCGAAAGCUAGGGGAGCAAACGGGAUUAGAUACCCCGGUAGUCCUAGCCGUAAACGAUGGGCACUAAGUAGAGGGGUUUU